ensembl:snRNA U6 U6 spliceosomal RNA
UUUGGCAGCACUGAUAAAUAGUAAAAUUGCAGUGAUACAGAGAUUAGCGUGGCCCCUCCACAGAGAUGACAAGCAAAUUUGUGAAAAGUUCCAUCUUUAA